AUUGAACGCUGGCGGCAGGCCUAACACAUGCAAGUCGAGCGGAUGAGAGGAGCUUGCUUCUCGAUUCAGCGGCGGACGGGUGAGUAAUGCCUAGGAAUCUGCCUGGUAGUGGGGGACAACGCUUCGAAAGGAACGCUAAUACCGCAUACGUCCUACGGGAGCAAGCAGGGGACCUUCGGGCCUUGCGCUACCAGAUGCGCCUAGGUCGGCUUAGCUAGUUGGUGAGGUAAUGGCUCACCAAGGCGACGAUCGUGAACUGGUCUGAGGGGAUGGUCAGUCACACUGGAACCGAGACACGGUCGAGACUCCGACGGGAGGUAGCAGUGGGGAAUAUUGGGCAAUGUGCGAAAGCCUGAUCCAGCCAUGCCGGGUGUGUGAAGAAGGUCUUCGGAUAGGAAAGCACUUUAAGUUGGGAGGAAGGGUUGUAGAUUAAUACUCUGCAAUUUUGACGUUACCGAUAGAAUAAGCACCGGCUAACUCUGUGCCAGCCGCCGCGGUAA
rnacentral:rRNA from 1 species